GCAACAACCUAGAUGGAUGUACAGCCAUCAAGAGGAUCUUAAAGUGUGGUCUUUAGUGGAAAAAAAGCAGAAGCAAUGUAUGGGAGACUGAGUAAUUACAUAUAAGCUCACAUCACUAUCUCUUCCACCACUGUCAUCCAUCAUGACUGAUCUGGGAGAUGAAACAGCACAGAUCUAAAGGACGUGGCUGGAGUGCAAUGGCAUGGUAUCGGCUCACUGCAACCUCUGUCUCCUGGGUUCAAGCGAUUUUUCUGCCUCAGCCUCCCAAGUAGCUGGGAUUACAGGCAUGCGUCAUCAUACCUAGCUAAUUUGUCCCAUAGAAUCUCAUCUUCUGGAUUUUGUGGCUAUUUUUUCAUGGUGUUGAUUCAUUCAUAAGGUAAAAUUUAUAUACAGUGAAAUGCAUCUUAUGGGUACAAUUCAAUGAGUUUUGAAAAGUGUGUACAUCCAUGUAACCACCACCCAGAUUAAGACACAGAACAUUCCCGUCACCUCAGAAUGUUUCCCGGUGCCUUCUUCCUACCCCUCAUACAGUAACAUUGUAAUAAUUUCUAUUGCCACAUAUAUGUUUACCUGUUCUGAAACUUCACAGAAAUGGAAUUAUAUAUUAUGUAUUUGUUUGUUACUGGCUUUUUAUCAUUUAAUAUUUUUUUAUUCAUCCAUACCCACUGCAUGUGUCAGUAUUUCAUUCCUUCUUGUUAUUGUGUAGUAUACAAAUAUAUAAAUAUAUCACAAUUUAUUUUUGC
rnacentral:lncRNA from 10 species